GCUGGGUAUGGUGGCGCGCACUUGCAGUCCCAGCUACUUGGGAGGCUGAGGCGGGAGAAUCACUUGAACCCGGGAGGCGGGUGUUGCAGUGAGCCGAGAUGGCGCUGCUGCACUCCAGCCUGGGCGACAGAGCGAGACUCUGUCUCGAAACAAACUUUUUUUUUUUUUGGAGACAGAGUCUCGCUCUGUCGCCCAGGCUGGAGUGCAAUGACGCUAUCUCGGCUCACUGCAACCCCCACCUCCCGGGUUCGAGUGCUUCUCCUGCCUCAG
rnacentral:SRP_RNA from 1 species